UACGGAGGAUCCAAGCGUUAUCCGGAUUUAUUGGGUUUAAAGGGUGCGUAGGCGGACUUGUAAGUCAGUGGUGAAAGCCUGCAGCUUAACUGCAGAACUGCCAUUGAUACUGCUGGUCUUGAGUAUAGUUGAGGUGGGCGGAAUGUGUCAUGUAGCGGUGAAAUGCUUAGAUAUGACACAGAACACCGAUUGCGAAGGCAGCUCGCUAAACUAUAACUGACGCUGAGGCACGAAAGCGUGGGUAGCAAACAGG
rnacentral:rRNA from 1 species